UACGGAGGGUGCGAGCGUUGUCCGGAUUUAUUGGGUUUAAAGGGUGCGUAGGUGGCUGUUUAAGUCAGUGGUGAAAUACGGUUGCUCAACAAUCGAGGUGCCAUUGAUACUGAAUAGCUUGAAAUAAUUGGAGGCUGCCGGAAUGGAUGGUGUAGCGGUGAAAUGCAUAGAUAUCAUCCAGAACACCGAUUGCGAAGGCAGGUGGCUACGAUUGGUUUGACACUGAGGCACGAAAGCAUGGGGAGCAAAC
rnacentral:rRNA from 1 species